UCGCGGCUUAUCACCGGCAGUCCCCUUAGAGUGCCCAACUAAAUGAUGGCAACUAAGGGCGAGGGUUGCGCUCGUUGCGGGACUUAACCCAACAUCUCACGACACGAGCUGACGACAGCCAUGCAGCACCUGUGUUCCGAUUCCCUUUCGGGCACACCUGGAUCUCUCCAGGCUCUCGGACAUGUCAAGGGUAGGUAAGGUUUUUCGCGUUGCAUCGAAUUAAACCACAUCAUCCACCGCUUGUGCGGGUCCCCGUCAAUUUCUUUGAGUUUUAAUCUUGCGACCGUACUUCCCAGGCGGCAUAUUUAUCGCGUUGGCUACGCCACAAAAGGGGUCGAUUCCUUUUACAGCAAAUAUGCACCGUUUACAGCCGGGACUAC
rnacentral:misc_RNA from 1 species